rnacentral:rRNA from 1 species
AGUGAACGCUGGCGGUAGGCCUAACACAUGCAAGUCGAACGGCAGCACAGUAAGAGCUUGCUCUUACGGGUGGCGAGUGGCGGACGGGUGAGGAAUACAUCGGAAUCUACUUUUUCGUGGGGGAUGACGUAGGGAAACUUACGCUAAUACCGCAUACGACCUACGGGUGAAAGCAGGGGAUCUUCGGACCUUGCGCGAUUGAAUGAGCUGAUGUCGGAUUAGCUAGUUGGCGGGGUAAAGGCCCACCAAGGCGACGAUCCGUAGCUGGUCUGAGAGGAUGAUCAGCCACACUGGAACUGAGACACGGUCCAGACUCCUACGGGAGGCAGCAGUGGGGAAUAUUGGACAAUGGGCGCAAGCCUGAUCCAGCCAUACCGCGUGGGUGAAGAAGGCCUUCGGGUUGUAAAGCCCUUUUGUUGGGAAAGAAAAGCAGCAGGUUAAUACCCCGCUGUUCUGACGGUACCCAAAGAAUAAGCACCGGCUAACUUCGUG